CAGAAUGGGCCUUAUGUUGGGAUUUACCAGGCCCAAACGCAGGGAGGUGUAACAGUCUCACACUCUCGAUUACAAAACCUUCGCCAAUCUCUCCCAAUUCCUCCCUAAACACGCAAACAGAAUUCAAACCUUACACAACCGUAACAAAUUCAGAGCAAAACGAUGAAGUCGUGAUUACCUUUGGAUACGCCGCUCUAACGGAAUUGAUGGACGAAAAUUACAGAACAGAAAUCCGGAGGCUUCAAAUCCGUGUGUUACAGUGAAAAACUCGUUGGUUGCAGUGUCGCAGAGAAGAUGAAGGUGAUGAAUCGCACGCGAACCACGAAUUCGAUCUCAACGUCUCCUUCCUCCUAUCACGGAUUCCUACUUCCUCUUUUCUGUUUCUGCUUUUGUGAAGCGUUACGCACUGCAGGAAUAUGAAGACGGUAAAAGUUGAAUGAAAACACGUUCUCCGAAGAUUCAAGAAGAAGCCCCAACUUCACUCUAUUCUGGUGUUUAUAUAGAGUUUGAAAUGGAAGUUGAUUUCACUUGCUGUCGUUUCUGUGUUUUCAAUCUACUCGGAUGCUGCAUUUUUCAUUCA